AGUGAACGCUGGCGGCAGGCCUAAUACAUGCAAGUCGAACGGCAGCACAGCAGAGCUUGCUCUGUGGGUGGCGAGUGGCGGACGGGUGAGGAAUACAUGGGAAUCUGCCCAGUCGUGGGGGAUAACGUAGGGAAACUUACGCUGAUACCGCAUGCGCCCUUCGGGGGAAAGCCGGGGACCUUCGGGCCUGGCGCGAUUGGAUGAGCCCAUGUCGGAUUAGCUAGUUGGGGGGGUAAAGGCCCACCAAGGCGACGAUCCGUAGCUGGUCUGAGAGGAUGAUCAGCCACACUGGAACUGAGACACGGUCCAGACUCCUACGGGAGGCAGCAGUAGGGAAUAUUGGACAAUGGGCGCAAGCCUGAUCCAGCCAUGCCGCGUGAGUGAAGAAGGCCUUCGGGUUGUAAAGCUCUUUUGUCCGGAAAGAAAAGCAUCCAGUUAGUACCUGGGUGUCCUGACGGUACCGGAAGAAUAAGCACCGGCUAACUUCGUGCCAGCCGCCGCGGUAACAC
rnacentral:rRNA from 1 species